rnacentral:rRNA from 1 species
CCUACGGGUGGCAGCAGUGAGGAAUAUUGGUCAAUGGUCGCGAGCCUGAACCAGCCAAGCAGCGUGAAGGAUGACUGCCCUAAGGAUCGUAAACUUCUUUUAUCAAGGAAUAAAGUGUGGGACGCGUGCCUUGUUGUGUGUACUUUAUGAAAAAGGAUCGGCUAACUCCGUGCCAGCAGCCGCGGUAAUACGGAGGAUUCGAGCGUUAUCCGGAUUUAUUGGGUUUAAAGGGAGCGUAGAGGGGUUGUUAAGUCAGUGGGCAAAGUUCGGGGGUCAACCCUAAAAGUGCAGUGGAUACUGGCGGCCUUGAGUAGGGGAGAGGUAUGCGGAAUGCGUGGUGUAGCGGUGAAAUGCUUAGAUAUCACGCAGAACUCCGAUUGCGAAGGCAGCCUGCUGGACUGCCACUGACGUUGAGGCUCGAAAGUGUGGGUAUCAAACAGGAUUAGAUACCCCGGUAGUC